UACGUAGGGUGCAAGCGUUGUCCGGAAUUAUUGGGCGUAAAGAGCUCGUAGGCGGUCUGUCGCGUCGGCUGUGAAAACCCGGAGCUCAACUCCGGGCCUGCAGUCGAUACGGGCAAACUGGAGUACUGCAGGGGAGACUGGAUUCCUGGUGUAGCGGUGAAAUGCGCAGAUAUCAGGAGGAACACCGGGUGGCGAAGGCGGGUCUCUGGGCAGUAACUGACGCUGGAGGAGCGAAAGCGUGGGGAGCGAACAGG
rnacentral:rRNA from 1 species